rnacentral:rRNA from 1 species
GAUGAACGCUGGCGGCGUGCCUAAUACAUGCAAGUCGAGCGAAUGGAUUAAGAGCUUGCUCUUAUGAAGUUAGCGGCGGACGGGUGAGUAACACGUGGGUAACCUGCCCAUAAGACUGGGAUAACUCCGGGAAACCGGGGCUAAUACCGGAUAACAUUUUGAACCGCAUGGUUCGAAAUUGAAAGGCGGCUUCGGCUGUCACUUAUGGAUGGACCCGCGUCGCAUUAGGUAGUUGGUGAGGUAACGGCUCACCAAGGCAACGAUGCGUAGCCGACCGGAGAGGGUGAUCGGACACACUGGGACUGAGACACGGCCCAGACUCCUACGGGAGGCAGCAGUAGAGAAUCUUCCGCAAUGGACGAAAGUCUGACGGAGCAACGCCGCGUGAGUGAUGAAGGCUUUCGGGUCGUAAAACUCUGUUGUUAGGGAAGAACAAGUGCUAGUUGAAGAAGCUGGCACCUUGACGGUACCUAACCAGAAAGCCACGGCUAACUACGUGCCAGCCGCCGCCGUAA